rnacentral:rRNA from 1 species
GACGAACGCUGGCGGCGUGCUUAACACAUGCAAGUCGAACGAAGUGGCGAACGGGGGAGGAAGACGGGAGGAACCUGCCCUCCUUUUUGGGAUAAGCCUUGGAAACGGGGACUAAGACGGAAGAAAGGGGGAUGGGCUCGCGGACUAUCCGCUUGUUGGUGGGGUGAUGGCCUACCAAGGCGGUGACGGGUAGCCGGCCUGAUAGUGUGACCGGCCACAUUGGGACUGAGAUACGGUCCAGACUCCUACGGGAGGCAGCAGUGGGGAAUAUUGGACAAUGGGCGAAAGCCUGAUCCAGCCGUGCCGCGUGUGUGAAGAAGGUCUUCGGAUUGUAAAGCACUUUCAGUUGGGAGGCGUUACCAACAUCUUCCGCCCCGGCUAACUUCGUGCCAGCAGCCGCGGUUCUCC